rnacentral:rRNA from 1 species
UACGAAUGGGGCGAGCGUUGUUCGGAAUCACUGGGCGUAAAGGGUGCGCAGGCGGUCAUGAAAGUUAGAAGUGAAAUCCCAGGGCUUAACCCUGGAAUGGCUUUUAAAACUCCAUGACUAGAGUACUGGAGAGGUUGGCGGAAUUCCGAGUGUAGAGGUGAAAUUCGCAGAUAUUCGGAGGAACACCAAUGGCGUAGGCAGCCAACUGGACAGUAACUGACGCUCAUGCACGAAAGCGUGGGGAUCAAACAGGAUUAGAUACCCUGGUAGUCCACGCCCUAAACGAUGUCAACUGGUUGUUGGGUCUUCACUGACUCAGUAACGAAGCUAACGCGUGAAGUUGACCGCCUGGGGAGUACGGCCGCAAGGUUG